UCCACCUUGGCCCCCCCCCUUAUCCGCACCUUUAUUUCCAUAGCCGUCGGGGCCUUGG
rnacentral:ribozyme from 1 species